rnacentral:rRNA from 1 species
UAUCCAGAGUACCACGAGACACGUGAAACCUUGUGGGAAGCAGGGGGGACCACCCUCCAAGCCAAAAUACUGAUAUCGACCGAUAGCGCAUAGUACCGUGAGGGAAAGGUGAAAAGAACCCCUGGCGGGGAGUGAAAGAGAACCUGAAACCGUAUGUCUACAAACAGUCGAAGUCUGUAUAUAUAUCAGGACGACGGCGUGCCUAUUGAAGAAUGAACCGACGAGUUACUGUUGCUAGCGAGGUUAAGUGGAAAACAUGGAGCCGCAGCGAAAGCGAGUCUGAACAGGGCGUUCAGUUAGUAAUAGUAGACCCGAAACCGUAGUGAUCUAUCCAUGGCCAGGUUGAAGCACAGGUAAAAUUGUGUGGAGGACCGAACUCGUGAGCGUUGAAAAGCUUUGGGAUGAGUUGUGGAUAGGGGUGAAAUGCCAAUCGAACACGGAGAUAGCUGGUUCUCCCCGAAAUAGCUUUAGGGCUAGCCUCGAGGUUGAGAGUAUAGGCGGUAGAGCACUGAUCGGGCUAGGGGCCAUACCGGUUACCGAACCUAGUCAAACUACGAAUGGCUAUACUUAUACUCGGGAGUCAGACAGUGAAUGAUAAGGUCCAUUGUCAAGAGGGAAACAGCCCAGAACACCGACUAAGGUCCCAAAUGUUACACUAAGUGGCGAAGGAUGUGGAGUUUCCAAAACAACCAGGAUGUUGGCUUAGAAGCAGCCACCAUUUAAAGAGUGCGUAAUAGCUCACUGGUCGAGAGACUCUGCGCCGAAGAUGUCCGGGGCUAAAGUGUAAAACCGAAGUCGUGUCAUAUACAGCAAUGUAUAUGGGUAGGGGAGCGUUCUCAUCGGGCUGAAGCAGUACCGUAAGGAGUUGUGGACUGAUGAGAAGUGAGAAUGUCGGUAUGAGUAGCGAAAAGAAUGGUGAGAAUCCAUUCCACCGAAAGCCUAAGGGUUCCUGAGCAACGAUCGUCGUCUCAGGGUAAGUCGGGACCUAAGCCGAGGCGGAAAAGCGUAGGCGAUGGACAACAGGUUGAAAUUCCUGUACCGGUGUGAAUCGUUUGAUCGAUGGAGUGACACAGUAAGGUAGGUCAGCACGCGAUUGGAAGUGCGUGUUUAAGCAGGUAGGUU